UUGAGACGAUGCUGAAAGAAUUCAACAAAUGCCUUCUCACCUAUUUCCUUUGCAUUCAGCAGAUCUGCAGAGAUGGCUUCUGAUGCUACCUGACCUGAUGUAACAUGGUAAAGAUGGUCUUUUUCCAGUGUUUGAUCAAAUGGGUUCAUCAUGUGAUGUAUGGUUGACAGAAUGCUCUGAACAUCUUUUUCAUCCUGUUCCUUUCUUUUCUCAUCCAAUUCUGUUCUCUGUCUCGUUGACGUGUUCUGCCCAGCCAUGUCCUUGACCUCCAUUGUGAUGGCUGCUCUCUCGUGCUGUGUCAGUGUCCACCUGUGGACUGCACCUUUGUUCAACGAAAAACCUGAAAAGAACCACGGCAGCAUGAACCGGAUGCUGGAAAGAUGCAGACCCCAGUUUGCCUCUCGUGUGGCCCUGAUGAAUGAUAGCAGAUCCUCUACCAUUUCAAUGUAGGAACUCCAAAACUGGAAAGGCACUUUGGAGGUCAGCAGCAACUUUUAAAGCAGCUUCACGACAGUCUUGAGAAAAGGUUUCAAGGUAGGCUUGCCAGCGUAACCUGUGUAGUGCCUCACACAUCAACUUGUGGCUUCGGAUGCUUCUGUUAUAUUGGUGACCUGUUAUAACUCCCCCAACAGACCCAGCAGCAAUAACAUCUGCCUCAAUCAGAAUGUCUUGUAAGCCAGCAUCUCCAAAUCGCUUGCCAAUACAGGACAGGAAAGCCAUA